UACGUAGGGGGCAAGCGUUGUCCGGAAUCAUUGGGCGGAAAGCGCGUGUAGGCGGCUCGGUAAGUCUGCUCUGAAAGCCUGGGGCUCAACCCUGGGAGGCGGGUGGAUACUGCUGAGCUCGAGUCCGGAAGAGGCGAGUGGAAUUCCUGGUGUAGCGGUGAAAUGCGCAGAUAUCCGGAGGAACACCAAUGGCGAAGGCAGCUCGGUGGGACGGUACUGAAGCUGAGACGCGAAAGCGUGGGGGAGCAAACAGG
rnacentral:rRNA from 1 species